ACGAACGCUGGCGGCAUGCCUAACACAUGCAAGUCGAACGAGACCUUCGGGUCUAGUGGCGCACGGGUGCGUAACGCGUGGGAACCUGCCCUUAGGUUCGGGAUAACUCCCCGAAAGGGGUGCUAAUACCGGAUAAUGUCUUCGGACCAAAGAUUUAUCGCCUUUGGAUGGGCCCGCGUUGGAUUAGCUAGUUGGUAGGGUAAAAGCCUACCAAGGCGACGAUCCAUAGCUGGUCUGAGAGGAUGAUCAGCCACACUGGGACUGAGACACGGCCCAGACUCCUACGGGAGGCAGCAGUGGGGAAUAUUGGACAAUGGGCGAAAGCCUGAUCCAGCAAUGCCGCGUGAGUGAUGAAGGCCUUAGGGUUGUAAAGCUCUUUUACCCGGGAUGAUAAUGACAGUACCGGGAGAAUAAGCUCCGGCUAACUCCGUG
rnacentral:rRNA from 1 species